CCAAGGGAGAUGCUGCCAGCCGGCACUAGGCAGAGAGCGGCAUCCUUGGGCUGCUUCCUAAAGGACCUUCCCGGCGGGGAGGGGGCCCUCGCCGCUGGUCCGCUCCUCCUCCUCCUGCUGCUGCUGCUGCCUAGGGGCUGAGCUGGGACUUCGCUGCCUUUCUUACCCGGCUCCCUCCUCAACCCAGCCGGCUCGGAAGAGAAUCCUGCGGAACUCAAUGGGACUUAAUUCUAAAUAAAAAUUAACGGGAAUGU